UACGAAGGUCCCAAGCGUUGUUCGGAAUCACUGGGCGUAAAGGGAGCGUAGGCGGCGUGGUAAGUCAGAUGUGAAAUCCCGGGGCUCAACCCCGGAACUGCAUCCGAUACUGCCAUGCUAGAGGAUUGGAGAGGUAGCUGGAAUUCUUGGUGUAGCAGUGAAAUGCGCAGAGAUCAAGAGGAACACUCGUGGCGAAAGCGAGCUACUGGACAAUUCCUGACGCUGAGGCUCGAAGGCUAGGGUAGCGAAAGGG
rnacentral:rRNA from 1 species